rnacentral:lncRNA from 1 species
UCCUGCAAGCUUCUCAAGUGUGAUAAGAUCAAGGUUGAAGCAAGCAAGAUCCAUUUCUGCACAGCAUUGAAGGUAAAAUUCAGAAAACUUCUUCUCUUAGAUUCUCACUCAAUUCUCAUCAAUUCUCUUGGAUCUUUGGUUGUCUGAAGUCCUACCAAUGUAGGCAUGAAGAUUGAGUUUCUUCGAGGUCAAAUUGAAGCAACUCAGUUGUCACACCUCAAAAUUCACAUCCUCAUAUCUUUUUAUAUAUUUGGAGUUAGUUGAAAUUGAGGUCAGAUUCGUGCUCUACACCAUUUUUCUUUCAGAUCAUGUCCUCCUUUUUUAUUUUGGUGAUGGUUGAGGGUGGACUAGUCCGGUGAGGUCCACCGGAGAAGAAGGCCGGAGCUCUGCCUCCGGUGGUGUGUUGGCACGUCUCCCAGCCACAGGAUCCAUUCAAAUUAUUUUAAUCUUAGGCGUUGAUUUUGAUUACCACGCUUGUGGCGCGCUGACUAAGUUCCAUCAUGGAACGCACGUUUGUGUCCACUUGAUAUUCCACCUCAAUUAAUGAGGGAGAUCAAGUGACUCACGUUUUUUUUUUUGUUUUAAUUCAUUUGAUUUUCAUUAAUUCAUAUUUAUUUUAAUAUUGAUCCAAAAAAUAUGAGAGGUUCAUGAAAAAU